rnacentral:rRNA from 1 species
GUAUAGUUGAGGUAGCUGGAAUGAGUAGUGUAGCGGUGAAAUGCAUAGAUAUUACUCAGAACACCGAUUGCGAAGGCAGGUUACCAAGUUAUAACUGACGCUGAGGGACGAAAGCGUGGGGAGCGAACAGGAUUAGAUACCCUGGUAGUCCACGCCGUAAACGAUGCUAACUCGUUUUUGGGCUUUAGGGUUCAGAGACUAAGCGAAAGUGAUAAGUUAGCCACCUGGGGAGUACGACCGCAAGGUUGAAACUCAAAGGAAUUGACGGGGGCCCGCACAAGCGGUGGAUCAUGUGGUUUAAUUCGAUGAUACGCGAGGAACCUUACCAAGGCUUAAAUGGGAAUUGACAGCUGUAGAAAUACGGUUUUCUUCGGACAAUUUUCAAGGUGCUGCAUGGUUGUCGUCAGCUCGUGCCGUGAGGUGUUAGGUUAAGUCCUGCAACGAGCGCAACCCCUGUCACUAGUUGCCAUCAUUAAGUUGGGGACUCUAGUGAGACUGCCUACGCAAGUAGAGAGGAAGGUGGGGAUGACGUCAAAUCAUCACGGCCCUUACGCCUUGGGCCACACACGUGAUACAAUGCUCAGUAUAUCGGACGCA